AAUUGUUUGAUAAUGAAUUGUUAAUCUUUAUAUCUUUAUUUGUUAAUUUAUUUAUUUGUUAAUUGUUUGAUUAGUGCUAAUUAGAAAUUGAACAUCCUUAGUUUAGGUUUGAACAUCCUUAGUUUAGGAUUGAACAUCUUUACUUUAGAAUUGAACAUCCUUAGUAUAGUUUUUUGAUAAAAGAUUACAUAAUUAAUAUUACAUGUUAAUGAUUAAUUAAAAAUGCGUAAAACAGAUACGACACCUCCAUGGAUCCCGAUCCCCUUCAUCCGGGGCCCUUCGAGCCAGAGGUACUUCAUUUACAGCAGCAUCAUAGGUCCCAGCUAGUAUGGGAUGAGGAUGUAGAUGCCAACCGCUUGUUCCGUCCCCGGUUGAUGGAACAAGCAUGGGAUAUUUUAGGCGCUCGACCCCCACAUCGUCGCAUCUUAGAUAUACUAUAUCAGGACGGUAUCUACAGUUGCAUCGCUGCAGGUCGGGUACAGUAUGAUACGGCCAUGAUUGAGCGAUGGCGAUCGGAGACCCAUACAUUUCAUCUCUGCACUGGUGAGGCCACCAUCACCCUUUAGGAGGUGAAGGUCAUUUAUGGUCUACAGGUAGAUAGACACGUGUUGUAUAUUGAGGAGCCUCAGCAGAUGUCGUGGUAUCAGGAGGAGUUGACUAGGCUCACUAGUUUCGUGCCUCAAGAGGGUGAUAUAUGGGGACAUACUCGGGUGUCGAUGCAUUCCCUCGGUACUCACUUGCACCUCGUAGACCUCGAGCAUCUGAUUACAGAGGACAUGCCUCAAGUGGAUGUUGAUCGACGUGCUCGUUUGUACCUUCUUAUCAUAUUCGGGGGCAUCCUGUUUCCGAACACAUCGGGUUCCUAUGUGAGCUUGAGGUAUCUGCCAUUUCUGGAACAUCUGGGCGAGUUAGGAUGUUACAGUUGGGGCGCUGCUGCUCUGGCUUACAUGUAUCGAGGAUUCUGUCGAGCGUCUAUGGGCUCGAGGACCGAUGUCGCUACAUUUUACCCGCUCCUUCAGAUAUGGCUGUGGACUAGAAUGAGGCCUUUUCAGCCCACAGCUGCUCACCCUCCGCUUGACUAUAUUGUUGAGGUGAUGCCCUAGGCGCUGAGAUGGACGGGAGGCAUAAUCUAAGAUGUGGAUACGCACCACAGAGCUCUCCCAUUGAGGGAUCAGCUAAAUCAUAUGAUGGCGGACACGGCUUUUCUAUGGACGCCGUAUGAUCAGAUUUUGGAUCAGCUGCCGGUGUUUUGUAGGGGUGGUAUACAUAUGUGGAGCUCGCCGUGUCUAUUGAUACAUAUGGAUAUCGUUGAGGAUCAUGUGCCCGACCGCGUCUUACGACAGUUAGGCCACAUACAGAAUAUACCUGAGGCGGUUACUUGGGAGCACGACCAUUAUUCAUAGGAUGAGCGUGUGGCCGUCACUGAUGCAUGGCGGUCCUUUAUGCAGCUCUAGGUCCAGCGUUAGAAUCAGAGGAUGGGGACGCUAGCGGUGGUCGGACAUGCGACUCUGGUCCAGAGGUAUAUGGAGUGGUACACGCGAAUCACUCGCAGCUUGAUUGGCAACCCCGCGAGGCCUUGUGCAGAUGGCCGAGGAUAUGUAGCACUAGCAGAAUAUUAUGAGGCGUAGCUACAGACCAUACAGAGGAUGAUCUGGGGGAUCUUGGACCAUAUGUAGGCCCCCGAGACAGCGGGAUAUGUAGCACGGAUGGUUCAGCUAGCCGAGGGUGGUAUGCUACAAGCACAGGAGCUCGGACGUCUCGAUAAACAUGUUCCAGAGGUUCCGCAUCAGGUAGCAGGUGGUCAUAGUCGUGGUCAUGCUAGAGGAGGUGGUGGCAGUAGAGACGGGUGCCAGAUGGGGUGGGGCCAGGGGGGUUGGUGGCCGAGAGGGUAGGUGAUGCAAUCCAAAUUACCAUGGUGACGACUCAAGUUUUCAAGCCGAGGAGAUCCAAAUUGAAGCCCGAGAGGAUGUGGAUUGAAGCCCAAGAUCUGCCCCACAGAAAGAACAAGUCUAGCUGCCCAAAUUAGGACUUCUAGAAGCUCUAGUGUGAGCAUGAGGGGCUGGUCUAAUGUGAACGAAGGAAGCUUCCCUUUUUGUGUUUUCUAGGCUUAUUAAAGGCUAUUUUGACUUUCAUAAUGUGUAGUGGCUUUCUAGGCAUCUAGGAGUAUGCAUUUUGUAGUCUUCUAUGCACCUAGAAGACUACACUUCCAUUUAUUUCUUUUGACUAGUAUAUUUUAAGAACCUUAUUUAAAGGUGCUUGUAAAUCAUUUGAAGGGAACCUAUCUUGAAAUAUAUGAAUAUUGAACUUU